rnacentral:lncRNA from 1 species
UAGAAUCUACGAUCGAUAGUUGCAUAAGAUAGGUAGGUAUCCACCUUUAAACCUUCCCUUGUGAAAGUAUAUUUACUUUACUAGUUGACCAGUAAACGUGAUGUCCUUGAAUUGUUCUGCCAUUUGGGUAAACGAUGAUAUACCUCACACAACUACCAAAUUGGCAAUGUUUUAGUUAUAAUGAGUAUGUUCAUAUAGUCGUGAACAUCUCCUGGUUAUACAAGAGUUUGAAAGAACUAUGCCUCAAUAGUCUCCUCGAAG